UACGUAGGUGGCAAGCGUUGUCCGGAAUUACUGGGUGUAAAGGGCGUGUAGGCGGGUUUGCAAGUCGGGUGUGAAAGAUCCAGGCUUAACUUGGAGAGGUCAUCCGAAACUGCAGAUCUUGAGUGCUGGAGAGGAUAGUGGAAUUCCUGGUGUAGCGGUAAAAUGCGUAGAUAUCAGGAGGAACACCAGUGGCGAAGGCGGCUAUCUGGACAGUAACUGACGCUGAGGCGCGAAAGCGUGGGGGCAACAGGAUUAGAUA
rnacentral:rRNA from 1 species